rnacentral:rRNA from 1 species
AACGAACGCUGGCGGCAGGCUUAACACAUGCAAGUCGAACGGACCCUUCGGGGUUAGUGGCGGACGGGUGAGUAACACGUGGGAACGUGCCCUUAGGUUCGGAACAACACAGGGAAACUUGUGCUAAUACCGGAUGUGCCCUUCGGGGGAAAGAUUUAUCGCCUUUGGAGCGGCCCGCGUCUGAUUAGCUAGUUGGUGAGGUAAAGGCUCACCAAGGCUACGAUCAGUAGCUGGUCUGAGAGGAUGGCCAGCCACAUUGGGACUGAGACACGGCCCAAACUCCUACGGGAGGCAGCAGUGGGGAAUCUUGCGCAAUGGGCGAAAGCCUGACGCAGCCAUGCCGCGUGGAUGAUGAAGGUCUUAGGAUUGUAAAAUCCUUUCAGCGGGGACGAUAAUGACGGUACCCGCAGAAGAAGCCCCGGCUAACUUCGUGCCAGCCGCCGCGGUAACAC